UCGCUACAGAAGUGCAUAUACUAAAUUGGACCAACAGAGAAAAGAUGAGCAUGGCCCCUGCACAAGGGUGACAUGAAAAUUCGUGAAGCAUUCCAUAUUUUU
rnacentral:snRNA from 1 species